UGCUCGGCCCCGCCGCCCGGGCGGCUCCCAGGGACGGGGUGCUGCGACCUGAGCUCCCCGCGGCCGUGGGGAUGGAUCCCGGCCCGACCCGCUGAGCCCGGAUCUCUCCGCUCUGCAGUUGCUGCGUAGCGCUGUGCGGAGUUUGGGACCGCCGCAGCGGGACGCGGACGAGAUGACAAGGGAGCAGGGUAAGGCCGUGCGGCGGGAGCGGGGAGAGGAG